UACAGAGGUCCCGAGCGUUGUUCGGAUUUAUUGGGCGUAAAGGGUGCGUAGGCGGCGGAGUAAGUUGGGUGUGAAAUCCCGGGGCUUAACCUCGGAAUGGCAUUCAAUACUGCUUCGCUCGAGUACUGGAGAGGAGGCUGGAAUUUACGGUGUAGCAGUGAAAUGCGUAGAUAUCGUAAGGAGGGCCGGUGGCGAAAGCGAGCCUCUGGACAGUUACUGACGCUGAUGCACGAAGGCCAGGGGAGCAAACGGG
rnacentral:rRNA from 1 species